ensembl:lncRNA
GAGCAGUCGGGCGCCGGCACCGAGGCGACCCGUGAGCUGUAGACUGUGUCCUCAACCGGGUUGUGUGGAUGUCGAUUCGUUUACUUACAGAGUUCACUUUUAUCCUUAAAACGAUGUCUGCCAGCCUUCUCAGCUCUAAAGUCACACCUUUCCUCGUGGCAAGCAAAAAAUAGUUUGUACAUAAAACAGGGUCUCCCUAUGUAAUCCAGGCUGGCCUUGAACUCACUGUGUAGUUCAAACUGGCCUUGGAUUCACAGUGAUCUUCCUGUCUCAUCCUGCUCAUGCUCCCCAGGUCAGCACCCCCACGGCCAGGCCAUCUUCAUUUGAACAAGCCACGUUUCAAGUGUUCAGCAGCCACAGGUGGCUGGAGACUGCCAUAUCCAACAGUGCAAGUCUAGAUCAUACUUCAGAAAGAAAUAAGGGGAAGUGUGUCCCGCCUUGAGGAGCCACUAUCAAAUAAACAGAAUGUUCCCACCAAGCAUACUCCUGAAAAUUAUCAGACUUUAAAAGAAUUCUAAAUCAUGAUGAAAAGUUACACAAAUAUUCACUUAGAGGAGCAUGUCCUUGCCAGCAUAUCCAAACUGGCAGCGUCUUCAAAGUUGGGAGAACCUGGGGACCAUGGUGCACACCUGCA